UAUAUAUAAUAUAUGAGGUUAGCAUAAAUCAUAUUUUGAUUUUAAAGGGAGAGAAAAAAGGGGAACUUGGUGGGAGAGAGCACAGACCACAGGGGCAUGUCUCAAAAUUUGUUGCAAAGUGUAUAGUUGAGGGUUUGGUACUUUGGUUUCAUUUAGUUAAAUUUGUUUGUGUCUGGAAUUGCCGCUUGUUUGAAAAUGUCUCUCUUUGCUGCAUUUUCCAUUUGUAAAGUUGCCAAGGAUGCAGCUGGAGUUGCAGGAAAUGUGUUUGCUUUUGGGUUGUUUGUGUCUCCCAUACCCACAUUUAGGAGGAUUAUCAGAAAUGGGUCAACAGAGAUGUUCUCAGGGUUGCCAUAUAUUUAUUCCCUUCUGAACUGCUUGAUCUGCAUGUGGUAUGGCACACCUCUGAUAUCUGCUGAUAAUUUGUUGGUUACAACUGUUAAUUCAAUUGGAGCAGUCUUUCAGUUUGUGUACACAAUCAUCUUCCUGAUGUAUGCUGAGAAAGCAAAGAAGGUGAGAAUGGUUGGAUUAUUGCUGGCAGUUCUUGGCAUGUUUGCAAUCGUAUUGGUUGGGAGCUUGCAGAUAGAUGACGUUAUAAUGCGUCGGUUCUUUGUGGGGUUCUUGAGCUGCGCGUCUCUCAUUUCAAUGUUUGCCUCUCCAUUGUUUAUAAUUAAAUUGGUCAUUCAGACAAAGAGUGUUGAAUUCAUGCCGUUUUAUCUCUCACUUUCCACCUUCCUAAUGAGCACCUCUUUCUUACUUUAUGGAUUAUUCAACGAUGAUGCUUUUAUUUAUGUGCCAAAUGGGAUAGGAACCAUUUUGGGAAUGAUACAGUUGAUAUUAUACUUCUACUUCGAGAGUAAAUCUAGAGAGAGCUCCAGAGAACCUCUGAUAGUAUCAUAUGCAUGAUGAGUUCUGCUGAAAAGGCUGAAGGUAAGAAAAGACGCUUUUCAGUGGAUAAAAUCCUUGCAACCAGAGCGUGAUGUUAAUUUCUUCCUUGAUCCCAAAUAGCUGAAACCAUGCUCCUAGUGCCAUCAAAAUUAUUUUAACUUCAUAUUGCAGAUAUUCAGUCUCUUCUGGUACCAAUGCACUCAAUAUUUUGCCCACCAACAUCGGUUUUCUGAACAAUAGAUCAUUUAAGCAUAAUAAAUCAGAGUCAGGAACGACCUUUUGCUGCUGGUUGCUGGCUGAGACUGGAGUUGGCAACAUCUGUCAAUUUAUAGGAGGAAUUACUGUUGCAUCCUUGAGAGUGACCAGAAGUUGUGAUAGUGAAUAACUUGAAAUUGUUUAUAUCAUAGUUACCAGAUAUAUGGUACGAGUACUGGUAUGCGGUACUUGUAGGUACAGAUGGUCAAUUUUUACAUUAUUAUUACAAGACUUUCUUUAAAGAGAACCCGGUAUGCAGUUCUUAGUACGGUGAAUUCAGUACACAAUAUGCAGGGUUAACUAUGAUCUGUAUAUGAAUGAAAGCCUUGAGGAGGUGAACCAUGCUUCGAAAUGGGACUAUUUCAAGAAAGGCAGGCACAUUGCACAUUGCUUCUCUUGCAGUGAAGUCAUUUCCAAGUUAUUAGAUGUUGAGAGACAAAUAUGUACACAUUAUUUGAGUGAUAUAUAUUAUUUGUUAUAGUCUGAUGUUCCGUCUUAAAUUCUUGAUCCUCAUUUCUCUAUGUUGAUCACCAAAUAGAUACUGAGUCAUUGUCUCCCUUUGUCAUUAGCUGCUUUAUUUAAUGCCGUAGAUAGGAAGAGUCAAUUUAUAUGCAAAAAUGAAUUUCGCUAUACUAUUUGAGUGCCAAGGUGGUUCUUGAUUACU